rnacentral:rRNA from 1 species
GUCACGCUGUAAACGAUGUCGAUUUGGAGGUUGUUCCCUUGAGGAGUGGCUUUCGGAGCUAACGCGUUAAAUCGACCGCUGGGGAGUACGGCCGCAAGGUUAAAACUCAAAUGAAUUGACGGGGGCCCGCACAAGCGGUGGAGCAUGUGGUUUAAUUCGAUGCAACGCGAAGAACCUUACCUACUCUUGACAUCCAGAGAAUUUAGCAGAGAUGCUUUAGUGCCUUCGGGAACUCUGAGACAGGUGCUGCAUGGCUGUCGUCAGCUCGCGUUGUGAAAUGUUGGGUUAAGUCCCGCAACGAGCGCAACCCUUAUCCUUUGUUGCCAGCACAUUAUGGUGGGAACUCAAAGGAGACUGCCGGUGAUAAACCGGAGGAAGGUGGGGAUGACGUCAAGUCAUCAUGGCCCUUACGAGUAGGGCUACACACGUGCUACAAUGGCGUAUACAAAGAGAAGCGACCUCGCGAGAGCAAGCGGAACUCAUAAAGUACGUCGUAGUCCGGAUUGGAGUCUGCAACUCGACUCCAUGAAGUCGGAAUCGCUAGUAAUCGUAGAUCAGAAUGCUACGGUGAAUACGUUCCCGGGCCUUGUACACACCGCCCGUCGCACCAUGGGAGUGGGUUGCAAAAGGAGUAGGUAGCUUAACCUUCGGGAGGGCGCUUACCACUUUGUGAUUCAUGACUGGGGUGAAGUCGUAACAAGGUAACCA